UACGUAGGGUGCAAGCGUUGUCCGGAAUUAUUGGGCGUAAAGAGCUCGUAGGCGGUUUGUCGCGUCUGCUGUGAAAACUCGGGGCUUAACACUCCGGCCUGCAGUGGGUACGGGCAGACUAGAGUGUGGUAGGGGAGACUGGAAUUCCUGGUGUAGCGGUGAAAUGCGCAGAUAUCAGGAGGAACACCGAUGGCGAAGGCAGGUCUCUGGGCCAUAACUGACGCUGAGAAGCGAAAGCAUGGGGAGCGAACAGG
rnacentral:rRNA from 1 species